rnacentral:lncRNA from 1 species
CUCAGAGAGAGGGGUAGAAGCUGGCGUUGUCCCCUGAGCCAGGGUCACUGCACUUGCCACUGCUCUGCUCCAAGAGGCUUUACCAGCUAACUUAGCCUCUGCAGUUUCUGAAAGCACAGUGUGGAGACAUUCGCAUAUAUUUUAGUCAUUAUUUCCACUCUCCGUUGAACCUUAGAAUAGGCUCUAAGUCAUCGUUCUUUCUCUCUCCUCACGUUUUGGUUUAUUUUUGGAAGUGAGAUCAAUGCAUUGCCCUUUGCUUUCUUUCAGGAACCUCUCUGCUGCUUUUCUAACCACACCCAGGGGUACAGCGCAUGGUUGGACCUUCAUGGAAUAUAUGACAGCCCCUUUCCGGUUCAGUUUCCUGAUCAGCAGAAUGAUAGCUAUGCUCCCACACUCUGCAGAUAUAUUGGAAUCCCGGGCCCUUCUGCUGGAUUCCACCGUCUUGAAACUUGAGUCAGGUAUAGACACUGUACCUGCCGACUGCUGUGGCAGAGCAGGUAACUGAGGUACAGAGUUUCUACAUGACAUGGUUCAUCUGGAAGUAGUAGUGGAUCCAUUUCACCUUACAUGCUGCUUGGGGCUGUGUCU